rnacentral:sRNA from 1 species
ACUGGGUGCAGUGGUGCAUGCCUGUAAUCCCAGCAGCUGGGGAGGCUGAGACAGGAGGAUCAUGAGUUCAAAGCAAACAUGAGGCACUAAGCAACUCAGUGAGACCUUGUCUCUA